AGAUUUUCAAUUGUUAUGCGACAUUCGGGUGCUGCUGCUUGGGGAUCGAUGGGUUAAAAGAAGUACUUUCGUUAGCGCUUU